rnacentral:rRNA from 1 species
GACGAACGCUGGCGGCGUGCCUAAUACAUGCAAGUCGAGCGAACAGACGAGGAGCUUGCUCCUUUGUCGUUAGCGGCGCACGGGUGAGUAACACGUGUAUAACCUCCUUAUCUGACUGGGAUCACUUCGGGAAACUGGAGCUUAUACCGUAUAAUAUAUUGAUCCGCAUGGUUCUAUUGUGAAAGUCGGUUUUGCUGUCACUUCUCGAUGGAUCUGCGCCGCAUUUGCUAGUUGUUAGGUUAACGGCCUAUCAAGGCAACGAUGCGUAGCCGAGCUGAGAGAGUGAUCGGCCACACUGGAACUGAAACACGGACAAGACUACUACGAGAGGCAGCAGUAGGGAAUCGUCGGCAAUGGGCGAGAGCUUGACGGAGCAAGGCCACGUGAGUGGUGAAAGUGUUAGGAGCGUAAUACUCGCUUAUUAGGGGAGAACAAAUGUGUAAGUAAAUGUGCACGUCUUGACGGUACCGGAUCAAAAAGCCACGGCUAACUACGUG